rnacentral:tRNA from 1 species
GGGGCCGGCUGGCGCAGGGCGGUGUGCUGGCGUUGUCGCCGCAGGAGGGGCUGCGGCAGUUCGACGCGGCGCUGGCGCUGC